rnacentral:rRNA from 1 species
AUUGAACGCUGGCGGUAUGCUUUACACAUGCAAGUCGAACGGUAACAGGUCUUCGGAUGCUGACGAGUGGCGAACGGGUGAGUAAUGUAUCGGAACGUGCCUAGUAAUGGGGGAUAACCACUCGAAAGAGUGACUAAUACCGCAUAAUAUCUCAGGAUGAAAGCGGGGGACCGUAAGGCCUCGCGUUAUUAGAGCGGCCGAUAUCAGAUUAGGUAGUUGGUGGGAUAAAAGCCUACCAAGCCAACGAUCUGUAGCUGGUCUGAGAGGACGACCAGCCACACUGGGACUGAGACACGGCCCAGACUCCUACGGGAGGCAGCAGUGGGGAAUUUUGGACAAUGGGCGAAAGCCUGAUCCAGCAAUACCGCGUGCGGGAUGAAGGCCCUACGGGUUGUAAAACCCUUUCGUGCGGAAAGAAUAGUCCUGUAGCGAAUAACUACGGGAUUUGACGGUACCGCAGGAAGAAGCACCGGCUAACUCCGUG